rnacentral:piRNA from 1 species
UGGGGUAAACGUGGGACAGCCUCUGC